AUACGGAGGAUCCGAGCGUUAUCCGGAUUUAUUGGGUUUAAAGGGUGCGCAGGCGGCCAUUUAAGUCAGCGGUUAAAUCGUGGGGCUCAACCCCAUUCUGCCGUUGAUACUGGGUGGCUUGAUUGCGGUCGAGGUUGGCGGAAUUCGUUGUGUAGCGGUGAAAUGCAUAGAUAUGACGAAGAACACCGAUUGCGUAGGCAGCUGACCAGACCGCAAAUGACGCUCACGCACGAAAGUGCGGGGAUCGAACAGGAUUAGAUACCCCGGUAGUCCGCACAGUAAACGAUGAAUACUUGUUUUCGGCGAUAUAAUGUCGGAGGCAAAGCGAAAGCGAUAAGUAUUCCACCUGGGGAGUACGCCGGCAACGGUGAAACUCAAAGGAAUUGACGGG
rnacentral:rRNA from 1 species